ensembl:snoRNA
GGUUGAGUAGCUGAUGACAUAACUUUUUUUCCCCAUCAGAUGGAUCCUGCUGAUCGAACUGAACUAUUAGCUGUUUUGUCUACUGCACU